rnacentral:rRNA from 1 species
AGUCAAGUAAUUAAGUGCAUGUGGUGGAUGCCUUGGCAGUCAGAGGCGAUGAAAGACGUGAUAGCCUGCGAAAAGCUCCGGGGAGGCGGCAAAUAUCCUUUGAUCCGGAGAUGUCUGAAUGGGGGAACCCACCUACUUUAAGGUAGGUAUUGCAACAUGAAUACAUAGUGUUGCAAGGCGAACGAGGGGAAGUGAAACAUCUCAGUACCCUUAGGAAAAGAAAUCAAUUGAGAUUCCCUCAGUAGCGGCGAGCGAACGGGGAUCAGCCCAUUAAGUUAUGUGUGUUUUAGUGGAACGCUCUGGGAAGUGCGAACGUAGAGGGUGAUAUUCCCGUACACGAAAGGGCACACAUAAUGAUGACGAGUAGGGCGAGGCACGUGAAACCUUGUCUGAAUAUGGGGGGACCAUCCUCCAAGGCUAAAUACUCCUGACUGACCGAUAGUGAACCAGUACCGUGAGGGAAAGGCGAAAAGAACCCCUGUGAGGGGAGUGAAAUAGAUCCUGAAACCGCAUGCAUACAAGCAGUGGGAGCACCUUCGUGGUGUGACUGCGUACCUUUUGUAUAAUGGGUCAGCGACUUAUAUUCAGUAGCAAGGUUAACCGUAUAGGGGAGCCGUAGAGAAAUCGAGUCUUAAUAGGGCGUUUAGUUGCUGGGUAUAGACCCGAAACCAGGCGAUCUAUCCAUGAGCAGGUUGAAGGUUGGGUAACACUAACUGGAGGACCGAACCCACUGUCGUUGAAAAGCCAGGGGAUGACUUGUGGAUAGGGGUGAAAGGCUAAUCAAGCCUGGUGAUAGCUGGUUCUCCCCGAAAGCUAUUUAGGUAGCGCCUCGGACGAAUACCAUAGGGGGUAGAGCACUGUUUCGGCUAGGGGGUCAUCCCGACUUACCAAACCGAUGCAAACUCCGAAUACCUAUGAGUACUAUCCGGGAGACAGACUGCGGGUGCUAACGUCCGUAGUCAAGAGGAAAACAAUCCAGACCGCCAGCUAAGGCCCCAAAAUCAUAGUUAAGUGGGAAACGAUGUGGGAAGGCAUAGACAGCUAGGAGGUUGGCUUAGAAGCAGCCACCCUUUAAAGAAAGCGUAAUAGCUCACUAGUCGAGUCGGCCUGCGCGGAAGAUGUAACGGGGCUAAAACUAUGUGCCGAAGCUGCGGAUGUAUACUUUGUAUACGUGGUAGGGGAGCGUUCUGUAAGCCGAUGAAGGUGUGUUGAGAAGCAUGCUGGAGGUAUCAGAAGUGCGAAUGCUGACGUGAGUAACGACAAAACGGGUGAAAAACCCGUUCGCCGAAAGACCAAGGGUUCCAGUCCAACGUUAAUCGGGGCUGGGUGAGUCGACCCCUAAGGCGAGGCCGAAAGGCGUAGUCGAUGGGAAAAUGGUUAAUAUUCCAUUACUUCUGUGUAAUGCGAUGAGAGGACGGAGAAGGCUAAAUCAGCCUGGCGUUGGUUGUCCAGGUGAAAGGAUGUAGGCAUGUAUCUUAGGCAAAUCCGGGGUACUCUAUGCUGAGAUCUGAUAGCAAGCUGUACUUGUACAGCGAAGUGGUUGAUGCCAUGCUUCCAGGAAAAGUCUCUAAGCUUCAGUUACACAGGAAUCGUACCCGAAACCGACACAGGUGGUCAGGUCGAGUAGACCAAGGCGCUUGAGAGAACUCUGCUGAAGGAACUAGGCAAAAUGGUACCGUAACUUCGGGAGAAGGUACGCUGUUGUUGGUGAUGGAACUCGCUUCCUGAGCUGACGACAGCCGCAGAAACCAGGCCGCUGCAACUGUUUAUUAAAAACAUAGCACUCUGCAAACACGAAAGUGGACGUAUAGGGUGUGAUGCCUGCCCGGUGCUGGAAGGUUAAUUGAUGGGGUUAGCGUAAGCGAAGCUCUUGAUCGAAGCCCCAGUAAACGGCGGCCGUAACUAUAACGGUCCUAAGGUAGCGAAAUUCCUUGUCGGGUAAGUUCCGACCUGCACGAAUGGCAUAAUGAUGGCGGCGCUGUCUCCAGCAGAGGCUCAGUGAAAUCGAAAUCGCUGUGAAGAUGCAGUGUACCCGCGGCUAGACGGUAAGACCCCGUGAACCUUUACUGCAGCUUGACACUGAACUUUGACCUUACUUGUGUAGGAUAGGUGGGAGGCUUUGAAGCUGGAACGCUAGUUCCAGUGGAGCCGUCCUUGAAAUACCACCCUGGUAAUGUUGAGGUUCUAACUCUGUCCCGUGAUCCGGGACGAGGACCGUGUCUGGUGGGUAGUUUGACUGGGGCGGUCUCCUCCUAAAGAGUAACGGAGGAGUACGAAGGUGCGCUCAGCGUGGUCGGAAAUCACGCGUAGAGUAUAAAGGCAAAAGCGCGCUUAACUGCGAGACCCACAAGUCGAGCAGGUACGAAAGUAGGUCUUAGUGAUCCGGUGGUUCUGUAUGGAAGGGCCAUCGCUCAACGGAUAAAAGGUACUCUGGGGAUAACAGGCUGAUACCGCCCAAGAGUUCAUAUCGACGGCGGUGUUUGGCACCUCGAUGUCGGCUCAUCUCAUCCUGGGGCUGAAGCAGGUCCCAAGGGUAUGGCUGUUCGCCAUUUAAAGAGGUACGCGAGCUGGGUUUAGAACGUCGUGAGACAGUUCGGUCCCUAUCUACCGUGGGCGCUGGAAAUUUGAGAGGAUCUGCUCCUAGUACGAGAGGACCAGAGUGGACGAACCUCUGGUGUACCGGUUGUGACGCCAGUCGCAUCGCCGGGUAGCUAUGUUCGGAAGGGAUAACCGCUGAAAGCAUCUAAGCGGGAAGCCUACCUCAAGAUAAGAUUUCCCUAGGACUUUAUGUCCUCUAAAGAGCCGUUCGAGACUAGGACGUUGAUAGGUUGGAUGUGGAAGCAUAGUGAUAUGUGAAGCUGACCAAUACUAAUUGCUCGUGAGGCUUGACUAU